GCGAACGGCUCAUUAAAUCAGUUGCGAUCUACUCGGCGUUCCGCGCCGCCGGAUAACCGUAGUAAUUCUAGGGCUAAUACGUGCGAAGCGCCCGAAGCCGCGAGGCGACGGGCGUUCUCGCCGGAUGUAGGAACCGACCCGGGGACCGCCGGGGCAACCCCGGCGCCCCCGAGACGGGGCGAACCACGGUGAAAUGACGGAUCGUCGGCCCCGCGCCGGCGACUCGCCGAAUGAGUUUCUGACCUAUCAACUCGAGACGGCGGGGUAGAGGCCCGCCGCGGUAACGACGGGUAACGGGGAAUCAGGGUUCGAUUCCGGAGAGGGAGCCCGAGAAACGGCUACCACUUCCAAGGAAGGCAGCAGGCGCGCAACUUACCCCUAAUCUCGAUUCGAGGAGGUAGUGACAAGAAAUACCGAUGCGGGACCCUACGGGGUGCCGCGUUCGGAAUGAGUACGAUUCGAACCACCUAACGAGAACGAUCGGAGGGCAAGUCUGGU
rnacentral:rRNA from 1 species